AUGCUUCCACUGGCAGACACAACAAUUAUUUCAUUGAACUGGAAAUUAAGACUGCUGCCUGACUGCUUUGGCCUCCUCAUGCUUCCAAAGCAACAGAUAAAGAAGAGGGUUACAUUACCGGCUGGGAUGAUUGAUCCUGACUACCCAGGGGAAAUUGGACUACUACUCUACAAUGGAGCAGAAUCAGAGAGCUGGUACCAUUUCAGUAGGUUCUUGGCCUGCCAGAAAACUAUGACCUUGGAGUACCAUUUACUCAAAAUGCGAAUCCAAAAACGUGACAUCAAAACUAGUCACUCUUCACCUCAUGGAAACAAAUACCCCAAGGUAAUAUGCUAUUAUUAUUAUUAUUUGUUGAUUGACAUAUAGAUGUGAUGAGGGUGGAUCUUACACCCAUGCUAUAUCCUUCCCGUCUCUCCUUUCCGUUCUGUAGGUUUCCUCUGGACACUUUUCCACACAUCCUCAUUUGGCCCCUGCUCAUGAGCAAGUUGAAUUAGGAGGUGGUGCCUGGCAGUUCCUCCUCAUAUUAUCCAGGGAAGAAAGAAAAAGAGGAAAAUAGGAGACAGGAAGUAAAGCUUAGAACAGAGAGAUAACCAUUAAGCAGAAAGGGCUAAUAGAUGAGUCCAGAGAAAAGAUAACUCAGGAGGCAAGGAGAGCAUGGUGAGCCAUGGUAGGGGUGAGGGAAAGAUAUUGAAGAUUGAACUCCACCAGUGUGGGAUAAUCUUUGUAUGUGGACUCUGUUGUGUGCUGGAUUCAGUUGUUUAAGCAGCCUAGUGAGCCAGAUGGUCCCCUCCUUAGUGUCUGGUUUUGUCAGGUUGUAACUUGGCUUUUCAGUUCCCUAAUAUCUCACAUUAUCUCCUCUUCCUCCUAGGCCUUAAUCAUGUCUUACCUUUUUACCUUCCAAUUGGUUGAUAUUGAUUCUUAUUAAAUAAAAUGUGGUCUUUACUCUUGAGUUAAAAUUCUGAUGGGGGAAAGACUGUAUACACAGAAAUAAUGUCACAACUAUGUAUGUUAAUUAAAGGAAAUACAGAGCAAGGUCACUAGGUUCAGGCAGUUGAGAUAUUCCGGAGAAGGGAGUUUCCUUAAGAUAUUGCUGCAUGGACACACGUGCUCACUGUGUCACAGAAACACCUGCAGAUUUUUCUUUCACAGAAGACUUAGAGGCAAAGUUACUGUAAUCAAGAAUAUGUUGUUAAGAAGGCCUGGUACUAACACUGUCAUUGGUAAGCAUUUUGUAACUUAUAUAAAGCAGACGUUGGGUUUUCAGGACACUUCAUCUGCUAAUUGUCAACAAAAUACAGCUGAGGUUGCAAUGUGUCAGUAAGAAUGUCAGGGAGGAAGUCAGAGGGUCAAAUCAGCUGGGCUUUGGCCCAUUUACCCUAGGUGGUAUUCUUAAAGACUCAGUGGUUCUUUCUGCUUGGCAGCUUAAAGAGCCAUUCAGUUUCAGAACUAAAAAUGUGUGGGCCAGGAAGAAGGCCGUGAAUGACUGGGGACAACUUGCCAGCGUCUCCCAGCCACACCGGUUCAGAUAACUGGAAGCCCGGAAGCCCUCUCAUACGCAUCCAGUCCUGUAAGCAGCUCUUGGCAAGAUUUAAAAAAAAAAAAAAAGACUUCCCAUUUGUGUUUCUUAACUGUAACGUUGCUUAAGAAUCAUGUGGUGCUUGUCAAAGUGCAUAUUCCUGGGCCCUACUCACAGACCCUUACAUGCUACUUUCGGGGGCUGGGCCCAGAGACCAGCAUUUUUACAGGCACACCAGGUAUUCCAGAAUGAGAUGGUCUGUGGAGCACAUUUCCAGAAAUGCUGCCUUAAAGCCUUCCAUGUGUCCCAGCUGUCUAAUCAUUGUAUGAGGGUCCAUGAUUUAAUCUAUUUUCAAAGAAAGGGGUCUGGAAGUCGUUUUUCUCCUCCCACGUUCAAUCUGUCAUCUCCUUCUGCCACUCUGUUCUAACACUUCCCUUACGUUUGGGCCCUCUCCUCAAGCUUCUCACCAAAAAGCACUGUCUAAGCUGUCUAAGCAUUUCACAUGAGAGCUUCUGUGGUUACCACUGCUUAAGUAAACCAGUCUCCACGAGGGUGUCCAGCAGAGAGGUGCACCUGAGGGAUUAGGGCAACAACCUAGCUCGGGCCUCAGUUAUCGCAAAAUUCCAUUUGCCAUAGGUGCCACCGUGAAGACCAAAGAUUGAGUCUUACAUAGGUCUUCUUCUUUUGUUUCUUUAAAGCUUGAACUUUUUGCCAAUAUUUUUAAAUGGGGGGAAUUUCUCAUAGAUAUCCAGAUUUCUGGCUGUUCUUAGAAUAUCAGAUCUGGCUAGUUUGGCCAGUUUCCCUAAGGGCAACAGUCAGCUGGGUUGAGGAGAGGCUGCCCUCUUGAGACUCUGUACCAGCCUCACCAAGCAGAGGUACAUAUUUUCUGAAGAUAAGGAAGCUAACACGUUAAGGCCUGCUCUUUCAAGGCCCUUGACCCAAUUUUGUAUUUGCAAUUCUGUGUUGUUUUCUUAAAGGGGCCUCCACAUUUCUGACUCCAGGAAACCUGGAUCUGCGCCUGCAGCUCUGCUCUAUGGACUCCCCACACUGAGGUCAAGGGCAGCUGCCAUUUAUCCUAAGAGUUGCCAGUGGAUUUUCUUUAAGUAGGGAAACAUUUCUCUGAACUUGUGGGUCUACAGAAACAAACAAAAGAAGGCCUCAGAUUUCAUGAAGAAGGGGAGAGAUCCUAUCUGUUUGUGGAUGUGAUCUGGCCUGCAUCCCUGGCCUUUGAUUUCAUGAUCCAUGGCUGCAUCGAAGUCUCCAUCUACAAUUCAUGAUUCCUUAAAUUCUAUGGAGUUGAAACAACCUUUUUGUGCAUAGUCCUGCUUGCUUUCUUCUCCAUUUCUUAAAAUACAUAUUUAAAUUCCAUCAAUUUAAUUCUCAUUUGUAAAGUGAGGCUAGGAAUCACCACGGUGAAGAAAAAGAAAAAAGAGAAUCUGCCCAUAGGAAGAGAAUGAGUUGUACAUCUUGCUCUUUUGGAAUGGGAUGUACUGUGGGAAAGGACUGGAUCGUUUCUGUAAUUUUUAAUGCAC
rnacentral:lncRNA from 1 species